AACGAACGCUGGCGGCGCGCUUAACACAUGCAAGUCGAACGAGAAGGCGUAGCAAUACGCUUGUACAGUGGCGAACGGGUGAGGAAUACAUGGGUAACCUACCCUCGAGUGGGGGAUAACCCGCCGAAAGGCGGGCUAAUACCGCGUACGCUUCCGAUCUUGCGGGAUUGGAAGGAAAGCUGUCCCUUGGGGAUGGCGCUCAAGGAUGGGCUCAUGUCCUAUCAGCUUGNGGUAGGGUAACGGCCUACCAAGGCAUCGACGGGUAGCUGGUCUGAGAGGACGAUCAGCCACACUGGCACUGCGACACGGGCCAGACUCCUACGGGAGGCAGCAGUGAGGAAUAUUGCGCAAUGGGCGAAAGCCUGACGCAGCGACGCCGC
rnacentral:rRNA from 1 species